rnacentral:rRNA from 1 species
UACGAAGGGUGCAAGCGUUACUCGGAAUUACUGGGCGUAAAGCGUGCGUAGGCGGUUCGUUAAGUCUGUCGUGAAAGCCCUGGGCUCAACCUGGGAAUUGCGAUGGAUACUGGCGAGCUAGAGUACGGUAGAGGAUGGUGGAAUUCCCGGUGUAGCGGUGAAAUGCGUAGAGAUCGGGAGGAACACCCGUGGCGAAGGCGGCCAUCUGGACCAGUACUGACGCUGAGGCACGAAAGCGUGGGGAGCAAACAGGAUUAGAUACCCUGGUAGUCCACGCCCUAAACGAUGCGAACUGGAUGUUGGGCACACUUAGGUGCUCAGUGUCGAAGCUAACGCGUUAAGUUCGCCGCCUGGGGAGUACGGUCGCAAGACUGAA